GAGAUAUCACAGUAGAGAGAAAUCAGAUCAAACGAGAGAGCUUCACACACCAAACAAUUCACCGAGUGCAACAGUGAGAACAGGAAGUGACGUUACCCAGAGCUCCAGUUAUAUAUUCGCACCCCCAGGAUUUGUGGAACAAUCAUCAUUUUCUCUAUUUCCGUGUGAAGAAACGUCAUCCCAGAUCAUGAUGCUGCCUCCACCGUAUUCACUAGGCAUUCUGCUACAGCUCAGUGUUGUUUUUGUGCCAAACGUACCUUUUGGAAUCGUGGCUAUAAGUUCUAGUUGGGUUUCAUCAGUGGAUUAUAGAUUUUAUCUGGGCUUGAACGUUUUCUUUGGAAGAAAAUGCUUCUGUGUUGCAAUAACCUCUCCUCUGUCCAAACAUGGAGAACAUAGAGGAUUGUUCUGACAUGCAGAACAUUACCAGUCCUAUCCAGUGUCCUUGAGUGUUUCUGUUUGGCUUCCUCCCUGAUCAGUUUUUCUUUUCAUCAAGUUAGGAGAAACAUUUUGGUUUUCUUGUCCUGACUGAUACCUUUAUUCAUUUUGAGCCUUUGAAACUUGUCUGCAGACUAUGGCUCUAAGAAAACCCUACUAAGACAGCUGUACUCUGAUUCUUUAUAAGUUCUGGCAGGUCUGACCCAAAAAAGACCAGAGCGUUGAAUUCGGAUCAGAAACAAGUAUUUUUCUAAUUGAUGGCAGGUUUAUGCAACCAGGUUUUUACUUACAGAUUAUUUAUCUUUGCAGUUUUUACUGAUUUACUGUCUAAUGUGAAGCUGAGGAGACCGUAAAACCACUGGAACAGGACCACCCUGCAUAGCUGUCUGCGUCUCAACAGAAUUGCCCCUCACAAUAUGGCGAUGUCGCUGACAUCCACUCAUCGGACAUGUUCAUCUGUGUCCGGAGGUUUCCAGCAGGCCUGAAGGCAUCCACCAGAUGCAGACGGUGCCAGCUAGUGGAAGCAGGGGCCGUUCCGUUGCUGCUUUCUGUGUGUAAAGAUCUCACUUUAAGGAUACUGACGGCGGCCUGCCAACAGUGGAUGGGUAUGAGAGUCCGCUGAUGCUGCCUUAAUCCAGAAUCCAGCUUCAUUAGCUCCAUCUGCCACAAAGUUGAAACCAACCUCCUAAAUCUGUGCCAACUGGGGCACAGAACCUUUAAAAGUAUUCCUACCCUUAAAACUCUUCACAUUUUGAAAUGUUACAUUUGUCUAACAGAUUCUAGUUUGUACGUGCUUAGUUUGGAGUACGACAGAGCUAGGUACUAUUUGAUAUACACAGUAUAUGGUUCUACUAAGGACAGUUAUUUGACAUUGUAGAAACGCAAUGGAAAGAAUAUGAAGAACGUAAAUUGACAUGGAGUGAAAAAAGAUGUCAGGUGUUCCAAGUCGGUUGGGAAUCCAUUUAAAUCAACUCCAAACUAAAUGGAGACUUUUAGAUCACAAACUGGAUCAGUACCUUGCAAAAGUAUUCACUCCCAGACUUUGACUCGUUCCAAGCACAAACUUCACUGUAUUUACUGGGAUUUUACAGACCAGCACAAGUUGUGAACUGGAAGUGAAGUCAUAGUUUUCAACGUUUUUAAUGCAAAUAAAAAUCUAAAACGUGUGGCAUACCUAUUUAUAUCAUCGACUUCUGCAGCCUCUUACAGGUUUCCUUCCUGGAUUCAGCUCCAUCUUCCCAUCAGCCUUCCCCAGCUUCCCUGUUCCCGCUGAAGAAAAGCAUCCCCACAGCAUGAUGCUGCCACUGCCAGGACGUGUGAUGAUGUGUUCAGGGUGAUCGGCAGUAUCAAUGUUCUUCUGCUAACUUUUCUGCUUGUAGGUGAAAAGCUCGGUUUGGGUCUCCUCCUUUUACAUAAAGAUGAGAUUUGUGUCCACAGGACUAGUAGUUGUCCUGUGGACAAAUUCUUCCACCUCAGCUGUAGAUCACAACAGCUCCUCCAGAGUUACCAUGGGCCUGUUGGCUGCUUCUCCGAUUAAUGCUGUCCUUGUUUAGGUGGACGUCCGUGUUUGAACAGCUUUAUUUAAACUGAGAUUUGGGGGCAGAAUACACUUCCCACCACAGAUUUUUAUUUGCAAAGAAACUUUGAAAAACAUGUUUUUACUUUUAUCGUGAUCUGCUUGCUGUUGGUUUAUCACAUAAAAUCCUUCCUGUCACAGUUUGUUUUUAACCCUUUCAGUUGCAGUUUAAUCUGCCUUGUUGCUGCCUGCUGAUACAUGAGGAGUUUAAGAUGGUUUUCCUGUCCGGGAGUUCUUCAAGUUACGCCAGGUCAAAGGUCCAAAUGCCAAAGUAUCCUUUAUAUUCUAGCUUUAUCCAUCUGUAUUUUUCACAUCAUGAAUUUAUGUUUUUAUUUAGUUUUGGGAAUAUUUGUACCUUGCAGACCGUUUUAAUAAUUGAACCUCUGUGCCAUGAAGGUUUGGUUUUUUGUUGGCUCUGCAUUAUGUAAUCGACCUUCAGUACCAGCACAGUACGCAGGGGGGUAGCAUUGCCUUGUAACGCAGCCAGGCUGCCCUGCAGAGAGUGCAGCAGUGGUUUUGAUCAAAACUCUCAGAGGAAGUUCUGAAUGUCUGGAUGUGCAUGGCUGCUUGGACGUUUUCAGGACCAAACCCUAUGCUGCUGAUGACACACCUGCUGUCACAGUGAUGACCUUUGCAUGCGUGCAGAAACAGUCUCUGUGUCCUCAGCUGUACAUGGCGGCCAUCACAAAGAGACUCCCAGAGGACAGCAUUCACCUUCAGGAGGACAUCUGCUCGUCCAGUCCAGGUUCAGAUAGUCUGGCUGAAGCUGCUGUGAAUGGAUGUAUGAACAAUUCAACCUGAGACAAAUAUGUGCAAACAGUGUAUAUACUGUAUAAUACCCCCUUUUUUAAUUUUAUACCAACCAGACCUCUGAUGUUUAUAACUACUGCCUAUUUCUGUACAAACUGUUCUGUACUGUAAAUAUAUUACAGUCAGUUGGAAUAAAAAUCUUUUGCAAUAUUAAA